rnacentral:tRNA from 1 species
GGGGGUGUAGCUUAGAGGUAGAGUCUUUGACUACAUCUCAAGUGGUCCUUGGUUCAAAUCCAAGUGCUCUUU